UCUUUUUCUCUAACAAAAAAAAAACGGAUCCCUCACCCUCUUUGGAGAAAAAACCCUAGAGCCUUGUUCCUCCUACUUCUCUCCAUUCACUCCCACCUAGAACAUAAACUAGUAUUCACUCCCAAACUCUCACUCUCGAAUUUCUCACCAUAGUUGAAUUUCGAAGUUUGGAUUCAGAGAUCUAAAAAAAAAGAUUUGAAACGAGGAGGAAAACAGUAGACCUUGAGGUUGAGUUUGACACUCAAAGCAACUUAAAUUAAACGACUAUUGUUCCUAGUGAUUCAAAGAAUUCUUCUUAGUCAUUUUUUCGGUUUUUUAAAAGCUGGUUUUCAUCUGGAUUGAAGUCGUUUCUGCUGCCUCUGUGUUGCCGAGUUCAUUCAUCAUUUCAGACCUUAUUUGGUUAUUAAGCGCUUAUUUUUUCUGCUCUUAGGUAUGUAAACAUUCCUCUAUUUUCACUUGUUUGAAUUUAUGAAUGAAAUUUGGUUUGCUCGUAUUGAGUUUAUGUUGUUUACUUAGAUUCUGAUUGCAAUGAUUUAUUAUGAACUGAAUAUAUCUAGGAUGAGCUGAUAUGAUGCUAAAAACAUAAUGUGAAUUUAAGUAGUGAAAAAAAUAAUAAUAAUUAUAAAGAGUAAUUCCAUAGCUUAAAAUUAAUUGUUUAAAUCCUAAUAUUCUUCUACUAGUUUGGAUUGUUAUGUGAAAGUUCUAGUUCGCAAGGAUAACUCAGUGGCUAUUCUCGUGCAAAUUAAAUGGGCCCUGCGGCAUACUGCCUGGCAGCUUUAAGAUCGUAAUGGACCUGUCCCUCAUUUUCGAUUUCCAUUUUAAUUUGUUGAAAUCCAUAACUAGGAUAGCUUGACAAUUUCACUAAAUUAAUGUAAACGUGAAUCUUACAAUUCUUCCACAAAUAAUUUCAUAAUUUAUGGCCUUACAACAAUCUUAAAUUAACUUUAGAAAAAUAACUUAUAAACAUUCGUAGCUUGUUUUAGGCGCAAUUAACUUUAAAUAAUCGUGACUAUGGGUACGGUUCCCGUGGCAUAGUCAUGAUACAUAAAUCCCAAUCCGAGUAUGCGUUUCACGUGACUCGACUAGAACUUCAAAUAAUAAUAAAAAUUAACAUGUUGUAAAUCGCGGGUGCGUUUCACUUGGAGCGAUUCACAAUGUGUACAAAAACAAACGAGUGCGCGACAUCGCGACUUGUUCAAACAAAUUCCAUUAAUAAUUAAAAGCGGUAAAGAGUAAAAUGCACAAUAGAUCUAAAACAUGUAUUAAAUCAGAUAAUUAGACUAAUUAUUAAUAAUUGAGCAACCGUGCUAAAACCAUGGAAUUCGGGAGUGCCUCACGCCUUCUCCCGGGUUAAUAAAAUUCCUUACCCGGUCUUCUGUGUUCGCAGACCAAGAAUAGAGUCAAUUUUCUCGAUUUGGGAUUUUAAAAUAAACCGGUGACUUGGGAUACCAUAAUAAAUUAUUCUAAGUGGCGACUCUGAAUAAAUAAAUAAUCCCAUUUCUGAUAAUGUCACUUUAAUUAGAAAAACUCCCCUAUCCCCCUCGGGACAAAUGAGGUGUGACAACUCUAGCGACUCUGCUGGGGAUCACGAACCCAGAACUUCUGGUUCAGGGUUCAGAAUUCGAGCUUAGAUGACUGUUAUUAUACUUGGCUACUUGUGAUUGUCUGAUAUUACAUGUUUGGGCCUAAUGUGCUAAAUGCCGCUUUUUACCGCUUUGAUAUUGUUUGAACUGUAUAUAAAACUGUUACGAAACCCUUCUUCUCUCUGAGUCUUCUAAAUCUUCUGGGAAGUGCACGCUGGCGUGACUUCUUUUCUGUUAGUGUCAUACCAUAAUUUAGAACGAGGAUCAGAUCAGUUAUAAAGCCGGAUGAUCUUUUGGUUAUCGGUACGUUCGCUCCCCCCCCCCCCCACGUUGUCCACUCGAGCAAGCCAGGUCUAGAACAACACACCUCAGGAUUCAAACCUAGAAUAACAUAGACUCAUGCCGGAUCCCUAGUAGGAACGUUUGUCUGCAUCACGUGCAUUUGACUUUGGGAACUCAACACAGGGGUUGGGUCCGUCUCGGACAGGUGUACCCGAAAUAAAAAGACCAUCCUGAUGCAUUUUAUGUGCUACUUGUGCAUUUAUUUAUUUCAGAUUGCAUGUUGACCGGCUUCUAGAAUAGGGAAAGAAAAAUCAAGAGUGAGGCAGGAGAGAAAAAAUUUUCCCGGUCCUGAAAAAUUCAGGUAUUUGAAAAUUCCCGAAACUCUGCCAAAAUUUUGAAAAAAAGAAAAGAAAAAGAAAAAUCAUUUCAAAAUGAGCCAAUGUUUUGAAAAGUCAUAUUUUCCUGUUGUGUCAAAACUGGCAGAACUACGCGGGUAUGAUUCUCACCGGAUGUGAGAUAUGUAGUAAAACCCCAUCGGUUCCCGCUCACAAUUUUCGAAACAAAUCCAAAACUAUUUUCCUUUACUUCCUUCUUUAGAAAGUCUUUCUUUUAGACCCAAACUUUAAAAAAAAAAAAUACAAAAGCAUUUUUCUUUUAAUUUCUUCUCAAAAUCCAAAAAUAUUUUCAUUCUUCUUUCGAAAAUUAAAAAGAAAAUUCAAGAUUCAAAAAAUAUUUUCUUUUUUCUUUAGAAGUAUUUCUUUCAUAAAUUCAAAAUAAAUGUCCAAAAAUCGAAAAAUAUUUCCUUUCUUCUUUAGAAAUUUUUUCUUUCAAAAUUCCAGAAAACAAAAAGUCGAAAUUCAAAAAUAUAAUGUUUUCUUUCUUCUUUAGAAGUAUUUCUUUUCAAAAAUUCUUAAAAAAAACAAACAAAUCGAAAUCCAAAAAUAUUUUCUUUCUUCUUUAUAAGUCUUUGUUUCGAAAAAACAAUUCAAAAAAAAAAAAGAGUUAGUUUAUUUCCUUUUUCCUGAUCUUCCCGAACUACGCAAGAUCUAAUUCAUGUUCUCACAUGAUACGUAGGCAACCCACAUCAGGUUCGAUCGACCAUUUUUUUUAAAAAAGUGUUAAAAAAUAAUGAUAAAAAUAAUAAGGACCGACUGAGUCCAUUCUAACGUGUCUCUUGUUUUGAAUUGUAAAGAAAGGUUGAGGUGGUCGGUUUGUGAUAAGCCGACAACACAAGAUCCAAGGAAAAAUAACAACUGACAUCGAAGUUGUUACGAGUGCUCAAGAGACUCAGGGUCAGAGGGUUCAACAAGAGUCUACGGUGGUUGAGGAAAAUAGCGUACUGAAGCAGCAAAUGACUGAAAUGUGUCAAGCAUGGGCCAAUGGCCAAGGACCACCUUUUUUCUAUUCAUGGUUUCCCAGAGUUCACAUCCAUUUAGACUACUACCACUCCGCUCUCAUUGUAUGAUCAAUCCUAUCCAUAUGGGUUCAGUCUUUAUCCCAACUGUAUGACUACAGCUCGAACUUCUGUUGCGCGCUCCCAAAGUGUGCCAUUGACAACCAAUCAGACAACCACUAUUGUUAUGCCUGUCUUCACCAUCCCACAGCCGACAGUGGUACAAAAUAAAAGUCACGAGUCAUAAUUUGCUACCCAGCAAGAACAAUAAUACUCUCCUGAGUACCACUCGUACCUAUUUGAUCUUCCUACAAAUAUUAAGAAGCCUUCCCGAAAGAUAGCACAGGAAGAAAUGACCCAAAGAAUGAAAAGCUUAGAACACUUGAAAAACAUGCAAGGGUUGGCAUGUCAGAAGAGUAUUGCCUUCAAGGAUCUAUGUAUGUUACCCGAUGUUCGUUUGCCACUUGGUUUCAAGAUCCCCAAAUUUGAAAAAUAUGAUGGACAUGGCGACCCAAUAGCUCACUUGAAAAGGUAUUGCAAUCAGCUAAGAGGUACGGGAAGAAAUGAAGAAUUGCUAAUGGCUUAUUUUGGGGAAAGCCUGACAGGGGUAGCUUCUGAAUGGUUUAUUGAUCAAGACACCUCUCACUAGCAUGUCUGGGAUGACAUGGCCCGGGCCUUUGUCAGACAAUUCCAGUAUAAUAUUGACAUCGCCCCAGACCGUAAUUCCCUUUCCAACCUGAAGAAGAAGCCGACUGAAAGCUUCAGGGAAUAUGCCAUUAAAUGGAGAGAGCAAGCAACUAGAGUUAAGCCACCCAUGGAUGACCACGAGCUAAUCGUUGUCUUCCUUCAGGCACAAGAUCUAGAUUAUUUCCAAAACAUAAUAUCCGCAGUUGGUAAAUCCUUCUCAGAAGCAAUCAAAAUUGGGGAAAUGAAUGAGAAUGGCCUUAAGACAGACAAAAUUAUAAAUCAAGCAGUUCUCAAAGUCGCAACUUAGGCUGUCCAAAUUGAAUCUGUUAAUUUUAGUGACACGAAUGAGAAGGGUGAAGAAAUCAUGAUGACAACAGGUUCGAGAUAGGUCCUAGGAGAACAUCUCAAAUGUAUGAUGUAACGACCCGGCCGAUCGUUUUGAGAGUUAGAUAACCGAACCCCUAUUAACUUCUUUCCCCAAAUCUAUUUUUGUUAUUAUGACUUGUCGGGAUGAUUAGUUUUGAGUUUUGGAGUAUUUUGGGAUACUUAGUCUCUAAAUGAGAGCUUAAGCCUUAGGAUUUGGACCGUAGUCGGAACUAUAUAAAUAUGAUACCGAAAUGGAAUUCCGUCAGUUUCGUUAGCUCCGUUAGGUGAUUUUGGUUUUAGGAGCGUGUCUGGAUUGUGUUUUGGAGGUUCGAAGCUCAUUUAGGCUUGAAAUGGCGAAAGUCGAAUUUUUGAAGUUUUGGGCCGGUAGUGGAAUUUUUGAUAUCGGGGUCGUUUUCUGAUUCUGGAAGUUAGAGUAGGUCCGUAAUGUUGAUUAUGACUUGUGCGCAAAAUUUGUGGUCAAUCGGACGUGAUUUGAUAGGUUUCGGCAUCAAUUGUAGAAUUUUAAACUUUCAAGUUCUUUAAGUUUGAAUUGGAGGGUGAUUCGUGAUUUUAGCAUUGUUUGAUGUGAUUUGAGAGCUCGACUAAGUUCGUAUGGUGUUUUAGGAUUGGUUGGUAUGUUUGGUCGAGGUCCCGGGGGCCUCGGGUGUAUUUCAGAUGCUCAACGAGUCAUCUUUGGACUUAGAGAAGUGGCAGAUUUUUGGUGCUUUAUUGCAGAAAAUAUCCUUCAUCGUGAUCGCGAGAGGUGCCUCGCGAUCGCGUAGAGCAUCUGGGAAAGGCAGCGAAUUUGUUCUUCGCAUUCGCGAUAUUGUUCCCGCAUUUUCAAAGGUGUGGGACCUUAAGCCUAUGCAUUCGCGAUAUGGUCCUUGCGUUCGCGUAGAGGAACGGGGUAGAGGAAGCUUCGGCAUUAAGCCUACGCAUUCGCGAAGAGGUUCCCGCGUUCGCGGAGGGUCCGUCAGUGGAAGGUACGCGUUCGCGAGAGUCCCCUCGCAUUCGUGAAGGAGGAAUUUUGGGCCAGUGGAAGAUUGUUCAUCGCCUUCGCGAUCGUGAUGUCGCGUUCGCGAAGAAGAACGCACCUGGGUAGAAUUUAAGGUUCAAAAACGAGGGUUGAGUUCAUAACACAAAAUUUUGAUUGAGAGCUCGGUAGAAGGCGAAAUUUGGAGAGAUUUUUGGAGAAAGUUUUUGGGUAAUGAUUCCUAACUCCUUUAUGGUUAUAUUCCACUAAUCUAUGGUUGAUUUCAUCAUUUAAUUUUGGAUUUGGGGUGAAAAAUUGAGAAAGAUUUUUAGGCCAAAUUUUGGGAUUUUGAUCGAGAUUUUGGUAACUCCUUUGAGCAAUUUUGGUACGAGUAAACUCGUGAGUGAAUGGGUGUUUGUAUUUUGCGACUUUUACCUGAUUCCGAGACGUGGACCCGGGGUGACAUUUUGGGAGUUUUUCCUAAUUUCACGCUUUAGCUUCAAAUUAAUUAGCUAAAUUAGUUACUCAUAGUUAUAUUUACAUUAUGAAAUUUAUUUGAAUAGAUUCGGGCCAUUUGGAGUCGGAUACUCGUGGAAAGAAUGUGUUAUCGAGGUGAUUUGAGCGGUUCAAGAUAAGUGGCUUGCCUAACCUUGUGUUGUGGACUUUCCCCUUAGGAUGUCUUGAUAUUAU
rnacentral:lncRNA from 1 species